AUGGCUCAGAUUGAACGCUGGCGGCAUGCCUAACACAUGCAAGUCGAACGCCCGCAAGGGGAGUGGCAGACGGGUGAGUAACACGUGGGAACGUGCCCUUCGCUUCGGGAUAGCCUCGGGAAACUGGGAGUAAUACCGAAUACGCCGUAUUGGGAAAGAUAUAUCGGCGAAGGAUCGGCCCGCGUUGGAUUAGCUAGUUGGCGGUGUAAUGGACCACCAAGGCUACGAUCCAUAGCUGGUCUGAGAGGACGACCAGCCACACUGGGACUGAGACACGGCCCAGACUCCUACGGGAGGCAGCAGUGGGGAAUCUUGGACAAUGGGCGCAAGCCUGAUCCAGCCAUGCCGCGUGAGUGAAGAAGGCCUUAGGGUUGUAAAACUCUUUCGCCGGUGAAGAUAAUGACGGUAACCGGAGAAGAAGCCCCGGCUAACUUCGUG
rnacentral:rRNA from 1 species